rnacentral:rRNA from 1 species
GGACCCGCACAAGUAGUGGAGCAUGUGGUUUAAUUCGAAGAUACGCGCAGAACCUUACCAACACUUGACAUGUUCGUCGCGACUUUAAGAGAUUAAAGUUUUCGGUUCGGCCGGACGAAACACAGGUGCUGCAUGGCUGUCGUCAGCUCGUGUCGUGAGAUGUUGGGUUAAGUCCCGCAACGAGCGCAACCCUCACUUUUAGUUGCCAUCAUUUAGUUGGGCACUCUGAAAGAACUGCCAGUGAUAAGCUGGAGGAAGGUGGGGAUGACGUCAAGUCCUCAUGGCCCUUACGUGUUGGGCUACACACGUGCUACAAUGGUAUUUACAACAGGAAGCAAGACGGCGACGUUAAGCAAAUCCUUAAAAGAUACCUCAGUUCGGAUUGCACUCUGCAACUCGACUCUAUGAAGCUGGAAUC